AACGCGGGGAGGUCGGACAAUACUGCCAAGCUAGAGUGCGUCAGAGGGGAGUGGAAUUUCCGGAGUAGCGGUAAAAUGCGCAGAUAUCGGAAGGAACACCAGUGGCGAAAGCGACUCCCUGGGGCGCGACUGACGCUAAGAGGCGAAAGCUAGGGGAGCGAACAGGAUUAGAGACCCUGGUAGUCCUAGCCCUAAACGAUGGAUGCUAGGUGUGGGACGUAAAGUUCCGUGCCGGAGCCAACGCGAUAAGCAUCCCGCCUGGGGACUACGGUCGCAAGGCUAAAACUCAAACGAAUUGACGGGGACCCGCACAAGCAGCGGAGCGUGUGGUUCAAUUCGAUGCUACACGAAGAACCUUACCUGGGUUUGACAUGUACGUGGUAGAGAAGCGAAAGCGGAUUGACCCUUCGGGGAGCGUACACAGGUGCUGCAUGGCUGUCGUCAGCUCGUGCCGUGAGGUGUCGGGUUAAGUCCCGUAACGAGCGCAACCCUUAUCCUUAGUUGCACGUAUCUAGGGAGACUGCCGGCGGGAAGCCGGAGGAAGGUGGGGAUGACGUCAAGUCAGCAUGGCCCUUAUGUCCAGGGCUACACACACGCUACAAUGGCCGGUACAAAGGGCAGCAAAGUCGCGAGGCGGAGCGAAUCCCAACAAAGCCGGUCGUAGUUCGGAUUGCAGGCUGCAACUCGCCUGCAUGAAGCUGGAGUUGCUAGUAACCGCGCGUCAGCUAUAGUGCGGUGAAUACGUACCCGGGUCUUGUACACACCGCCCGUCACGUCAUGGAAGUCGGUAACGCCUGAAGGCGGUAGCCUAGCUCGGAAGAGGGGGCGCUGUCGAAGGCGGGACUGGCAACUGGGACGAAGU
rnacentral:rRNA from 1 species